AAAAAGAGACGAAAAAAGCAUUGUUGUGUUUUUGCGUCUUGUAUCCCUGUCUUUAUUCUUUUUUGUUCUUUUUGUUCUUUGCCAUAAUGGCUGGUUUGACGUUCAUCUUGUAGACAUAGGGA
rnacentral:ribozyme from 12 species